GAUGAACGCUAGCGGCAGGCCUAAUACAUGCAAGACGAACGGUAAGUUGAGUAGCAAUACUUAGCCAAGAGUGUCGUACGGGUGCGUAACACGUAUGCAACCUACCCUAUACAGGAGGAUAGCCUAGGGAAACCUGGAUUAACCCUUCAUAGUAUUAUUGGAUGGCAUCAUUUGAUAAUUAAAACUGAGGUGGUAUAGGAUGGGCAUGCGUCUGAUUAGUUAGUUGGCGGGGUAAUGGCCCACCAAGACGAUGAUCAGUAGGGGUUCUGAGAGGAAGAUCCCCCACACUGGCACUGAGAUACGGGCCAGACUCCUACGGGAGGCAGCAGUAGGGAAUAUUGGGUCAAUGGAUGCAAGUCUGAACCAGCCAUGCCGCGUGCAGGAAGAAGGCCUUCUGGGUUGUAAACUGCUUUUUGCCAGGGGAUAAAAUUUCCAUGCGUGGAAAACUGAAGGUACCUGGUGAAUAAGCCACGGCUAACUACGUGCCAGCAGCCGCGGU
rnacentral:rRNA from 1 species